UUCUGGCUCAGGAUGAACGCUGGCGGCGUGCUUAACACAUGCAAGUCGAACGGAGUUUUUAAGUGGAAGUUUCGGAUGGAAGUUUAAAAACUUAGUGGCGGACGGGUGAGUAACGCGUGGGUAACCUGCCUCAUACAGGGGGAUAACAGUUAGAAAUGACUGCUAAGACCGCAUAAUAUAGCGAAACCGCAUGAUUUUUGCUAUCAAAUAUUUAUAGGUAUGAGAUGGGCCCGCGUCUGAUCAGCUAGUUGGUGGGGUAAAAGCCUACCAAGGCGACGAUCAGUAGCCGGCUUGAGAGAGUGACCGGCCACAUUGGGACUGAGACACGGCCCAAACUCCUACGGGAGGCAGCAGUGGGGAAUAUUGGACAAUGGGGGAAACCCUGAUCCAGCCGACGCCGCGUGAGUGAAGAAGUAUUUCGGUAUGUAAAGCUCUAUCAGCAGGGAAGAUAAUGACAGUACCUGACUAAGAAGCCCCGGCUAACUACGUGCCAGCCGCCGC
rnacentral:rRNA from 1 species